AUGCACGCUGGCGGCGUGCCUCAUCCCUGCAAGUCGAGCGAACGGACGAGAAGCUUGCUUUUCUGAUGUUAGCGGCGGACGGGUGAGUAACACGUGGAUAACCUACCUAUAAGACUGGGAUAACUUCGGGAAACCGGAGCUAAUACCGGAUAAUAUUUUGAACCGCAUGGUUCAAAAGUGAAAGACGGUCUUGCUGUCACUUAUAGAUGGAUCCGCGCUGCAUUAGCUAGUUGGUAAGGUAACGGCUUACCAAGGCAACGAUGCAUAGCCGACCUGAGAGGGUGAUCGGCCACACUGGAACUGAGACACGGUCCAGACUCCUACGGGAGGCAGCAGUAGGGAAUCUUCCGCAAUGGGCGAAAGCCUGACGGAGCAACGCCGCGUGAGUGAUGAAGGUCUUCGGAUCGUAAAACUCUGUUAUUAGGGAAGAACAUAUGUGUAAGUAACUGUGCACAUCUUGACGGUACCUAAUCAGAAAGCCACGGCUAACUACGUG
rnacentral:rRNA from 1 species